GAUGAACGCUGGCGGCGUGCUUAACACAUGCAAGUCGAACGGAAAGGCGCCAGCUUUCUGGAGUACUCGAUUGGCGAACGGGUGAGUAACACGUGGGGAUACUGCCCUUCUCUCUGUGGUAAGCCUGGGAAACUGGGGCUAAUACUGGAUAUGACCUUUCUCCUUAUGGGGUUUGGUGGAAAGUUGUGCGGUGUAGGAUGAGCCUGCGGGUUAUCAGGUUGUUGGUGGGGUGUUGGCAUACCACGGCGAAGACGGGUAGCCGGCCGGAGAGGGUGAACGGCCACAUGGGGCCUAAGAUACGGACCAGACUGCAACGGGAGGCAGCAGUGGGGAAUAUUGCACAACGGGGGGAAGCCAGAUGCAGAGACGCCGCGUGCGGGAUGCCGGCCUUCGGGUUGUAAACAUAUUUCAGCAGGGACAAAGCGUAAGUGACGGUACCUGAAGAAGAAGCACCGGCUAACUACGUG
rnacentral:rRNA from 1 species